rnacentral:rRNA from 1 species
UACGUAGGGGGCAAGCGUUGUCCGGAUUUAUUGGGCGUAAAGAGCGUGUAGGCGGUUUGGUAGGUCCGCUGUGAAAACUCGAGGCUCAACCUCGAGACGCCGGUGGAAACCAUCAGACUAGAGUCCGGAAGAGGAGAGUGGAAUUCCUGGUGUAGCGGUGAAAUGCGCAGAGAUCGGUAGGAACACCAAUGGCGAAGGCAGCUUGCUGGCAUGUAUCUGACGCUAAGGCACGAAAGCGUGGGGAGCGAACAGG